rnacentral:rRNA from 1 species
CACACCGCCCGUCACACCACGAGAGUUUACAACACCCGAAGUCGGUGAGGUAACCGCAAGGAGCCAGCCGCCGAAGGUGGGGUAGAUGAUUGGGGUGAAGUCGUAACAAGGUAGCCGUAUCGGAAGGUGCGGCUGGAUCACCUCCUUU